rnacentral:rRNA from 1 species
CGCUGGCGGCGCGCCUAACACAUGCAAGUCGAACGAGCGAGAGAGAGCUUGCUUUCUCAAGCGAGUGGCGAACGGGUGAGUAACGCGUGAGGAACCUGCCUCAAAGAGGGGGGACAACAGUUGGAAACGGCUGCUAAUACCGCAUAAGCGCACAGCAUCGCAUGAUGCAGUGUGAAAAACUCCGGUGGUAUAAGAUGGACCCGCGUUGGAUUAGCUAGUUGGUGAGGUAACGGCCCACCAAGGCGACGAUCCAUAGCCGACCUGAGAGGGUGACCGGCCACAUUGGGACUGAGACACGGCCCAAACUCCUACGGGAGGCAGCAGUGGGGAAUAUUGCACAAUGGGCGAAAGCCUGAUGCAGCGACGCCGCGUGAGCGAAGAAGUAUUUCGGUAUGUAAAGCUCUAUCAGCAGGGAAGAUAAUGACGGUACCUGACUAAGAAGCACCGGCUAAAUACGUG